rnacentral:sRNA from 1 species
GCAUUACUUUAGUCUAAAGUAGGAGUGGAAUUUGCACUAUUCAUAUGAAUUGUGUUUUGGACCACAUUUCAGUUUAUUUACAAGAUUGCCGCUCAGAUGCUUUUAGCUUUUUAUGAAGACGUCAUCGGUUCGAAUGACGGGAAUGCCCGUCUAGGGUUACAUCGCACGGUUGGGGGUAAAAGUUGGGUGGGCAUUGUUGUCAGUUAGGGUUGCAUUCGGUGGGAUCGAUGGCUCAGUGUGAGAUUUGGUGGGACGCCAUGCUCAGAGAAGAGGAGAGAAAGGGAAGGAGGGAGGGGAGGGAGACAGAGACGGGUUUGGUGAAGGGAAGGCAUGCGACUUGCAGAGAGGAGGGAGGGAGGAAGCGAGCGAGGGAGUGAGGGAGAAGCUUAAAAGCAACUGCAGCCAGUUCAAUGGACAGGGUCACAACAAUGGAGACACCUCGCUCUGAACCAUUUCCCCUCUCCUCAGCCGAAUGCUGAACAAAGUUUUGAAGAAACAAAAAUAAGAAGACCUACACGUAAUAGAAUCUGAUUCACAAGGAAAAGAAGAAAGCCAGCUUUUCAAUGAAAAAGCUAAAAAUCAAUCCCAUCGACCUCCUCAUCGGCGACGACACCCACGACCACCAGUGUUCUGAGUGAUCAUCGAGCUAUGAUGGGUUGGUGUUGGAUUUGAUUCGAUUGAGAAAAUGUGGCAGAGGCAAUAAUUCCCAAAUCCUCGAGCUUUCGGAUCAUACAAUCGUCCCACAGUAAAAAUUAUUGCGAUCCCUUAUUUAACUGCGUUAACCACGUACUUCAGCUAUGGAUUGCUCUUCGUUUUUGGCCAAGUCAUAUAUUUCUUCCGCAAAAUCAUCAACUGGUGGAGUGCUAGCAAUUUGCAGGGUUAUGCUCCAAUCUGUUUAGGACUUGAAGAUUUCUACAUUCGCUGGCCUUAUCUUCGAAUUCAGGCCUAUUGCAAGUGCUCCUCAUGCUUGGUUUGAUGUGGUUGAAUGCUACUCCAAUGACUACAACAAAACAAUCGAGCAACGAUUACAAAUUUCCUCCAAUUUCGCAAUUUCAUGUAUAUUUCACGCCUUCUGUUAUGUUUUCUUGAUUUAUAUUCUCAUUGUGUAACUCGGCUGAUGCAGGCUAACCAAAAAAACUAGUAGAUACCUUAACUUGGGAUCUUACAAUUACCUUGGCUUUGCUGCAUCUGAUGAGUACUGCACACCUCACGCUAUUGAGACAUUGAAAAAAUAUUCUCCCAGUACCUGUAGUAGCCGAGUUGACGGCAGUUGGCACCACAGAUUUGCAUAAUGAGCUGGAAAAGUGUGUUGCAAAUUUUGUUGGGAAAGCUGCUGCUAUAAUUUUCGGAAUGGGUUAUGUCACAAGCUCUGCUAUCCUUCCUGUUCUGAUGGGGAAGGGAGGGUUGAUUGUUAGCGAUUCUUUGAACCACAGCUCCAUUGUCAAUGGCACAAGAGGAUCUGGAGCUAGAGUUUGUGUUUUCCAACACAAUAGUGGAUUACCAAAAGGAGCUCAUCAAGUAUUUUGCGAGCACGAUCGACCUUGAUCAUUUGGAUAUUUAAAGGAGCCAUUGAUAAAGGGAAGACGAGGAGUUGUGAACCUGUGUGCCAAUUUUGCCAAUUUUGCAAAUUUUGCAGACAAGCAGAAACUCUGGUGCAGUGAUCAAACAAGAUUUCAUGUUGCGUAUUUUGAUUAAUAGCUGUGAAACCCAUUGUGUGUCGCACCACAAACGGUCUCGCCUCUGUCCUAUCCUCCUCUCGCCGCCGUCUCCCUUCUCUCACCUACGUCGUCUUACUCCUCCUUUCUCUUUCUCUGGAAUCCUAUCGUCAUCUUCCUCGCAUGCAAGGCUCUGGCCCUCUUAAUUGAAACCAAAACGUGUUUCAGUUCUGAGGAAGAGCAAGAAAAACGAAGAACCAGAAUUAGAAGAUCUUCCCAAAGAGUACUAUGAUGAUUCUUAAGCCAUGAAGGAUUUGAUAAACCCACAAUUGAUAACAAUGUGUGGCGGCACCAACGGUUAUGGACAAGGAACAAGUUUUGUUUUAAGGUUCUGAUGGAUAAAGCAAAAGCUCCUACCAAUUUAGCGGAGUGAACCAAGAAUUCAGGGCUUUUAUUAAUGACAUAUCACAGGCCAUUUUAAAGGUUCGACAGAAAGUUGAAGAACACAUAUGAUCACCUACUUUUUACGAGGUCCUGCUCAUACUUAGUUGUUUAUUUUAGCAUAGAUUUUACACUCUUACUUUUAGGGUGUGUGUGUGCGCGAGCGCAUUUGAAAAAGUUUGUUCUCCUUGGUGAUAGAAUUUGUCAUCUUUUAUUACACGAUGGAGGUAUCCAGGUCUCUCUUUUCUCUCUUUCCCCCUCCGUAGUUUAAUAUAAUUGAACAACUCUAUUAAUUUAAGAUUUAGUUUCUCUGUUUUUGGUAUCUUUUUAAGAUUGGUGCAUUCAAGUCUCGCAGCAACGCGCGGACAUAUUUUCUCGU